CCUACGGGAGGCAGCAGUGGGGGAUCUUUGACAAUGGGGGACACCCUGCUCCAGCGAUGCCGCGUGAGGGAAGAAGGUUUUCGGAUUGUAAACCUCUGUGGAGGGGGACGAUAAUGACGGUACCCCUUUAGGAAGCCACGGCUAACUACGUGCCAGCCGCCGCGGUAAUACGUAGGUGGCGAGCGUGUUCCGUAAGUACUGGGUGUACAGGGAGUGUAGGCGGGAAAGCAAGUCAGAAGUGAAAACUAUGGGCUUAACCCAUAGCCUGCUUUUGAAACUGUUUUUCUUGAGUGAAGUAGAGGCAAGCGGAAUUCCGAGUGUAGCGGUGAAAUGCGUAGAUAUGAGGAGGAACACCAGUGGCGAAGGCGGCUGGCUGGGCUUUUACUGACGCUGAGGCUCGAAAGCGUGGGGAGCAAACAGGAUUAGAUACCCGAGUAGUC
rnacentral:rRNA from 1 species